rnacentral:rRNA from 1 species
GGGUUUGAUUCUGGCUCAGGACGAACGCUGGCGGCGUGCUUAACACAUGCAAGUCGAACGAUGAAAGCAGGAGCUUGCUUCUGCUGGAUUAGUGGCGAACGGGUGAGUAACACGUGAGUAACCUGCCCUUGACUCUGGGAUAAGCGUUGGAAACGACGUCUAAUACCGGAUACGAGCUAGGACCGCAUGGUCACUAGUUGGAAAGAACUUUGGUCAAGGAUGGACUCGCGGCCUAUCAGCUAGUUGGUGAGGUAACGGCCCACCAAGGCGACGACGGGUAGCCGGCCUGAGAGGGUGACCGGCCACACUGGGACUGAGACACGGCCCAGACUCCUACGGGAGGCAGCAGUGGGGAAUAUUGCACAAUGGGCGAAAGCCUGAUGCAGCAACGCCGCGUGAGGGACGACGGCCUUCGGGUUGUAAACCUCUUUUAGCAGGGAAGAAGCGAAAGUGACGGUACCUGCAGAAAAAGCACCGGCUUAAAUACGUGC